UCUAGCACAUCUUGCAUCCGCGACUUAGACCGCGACUCGAGUCGCCAUUCCCGCGGCUGUCAAAUCUGUCGAUUUCCGUAGCAUAACUUGUACCCGCGACUGCAACAGCCGCGUAGAGAACUCAAAGUCGCGGCGCGACUCGUCAGUGUUACCCGGCGAAAUCAAAGUCUAAACAAAUCGAUAUUUGCAAGUGGCAACACUGAAUCGGAAACCAGGGAUGCGCUAAAUCAUUCGUUCUUUGGUGGUAAAAAAUCUAGUUUUUUGUCGAUGGUUAAGUUUUUCCUGUCAAAGUCAAGGAACUUUCAAAUUUUGUCAACAUUUAAUUACGGGAAAAAAUAUGAAAAAAUAAUAAGUCCAGCAUUAUCCUAGACACGAUUGAUAUCCCAGCACCCAAAGGAAAAUAUUAACAGGAACGUGCCAACGGGACCCGAAGUGGAGAGUCAGGAAAAGAAACACACUAAGCAAGCUUGGUCAUAUUGAAUUGUCCUACGCCGCAUGUCCAAGAAAAAGGAAGAGAGAAAAUACUUUUCAAGGGUAAUAAAGAAGAUUCUUACAAUUUCUCCAUUGUGGUUCUAGAUGUUAUUAUAUAUUAGGUUUAAUAAUAAGAAGUCGAAUAUUGCAAGAAUAUAUAAGGGAAAUCAAUAUACUAUUAAUUUAAA